rnacentral:rRNA from 1 species
AGUGAACGCUGGCGGUAGGCCUAACACAUGCAAGUCGAACGGCAGCACAGUAAGAGCUUGCUCUUACGGGUGGCGAGUGGCGGACGGGUGAGGAAUACAUCGGAAUCUACUUUUUCGUGGGGGAUAAUGUAGGGAAACUUACGCUAAUACCGCAUACGACCUACGGGUGAAAGCAGGGGAUCUUCGGACCUUGCGCGAUUGAAUGAGCCGAUGUCGGAUUAGCUAGUUGGCGGGGUAAAGGCCCACCAAGGCGACGAUCCGUAGCUGGUCUGAGAGGAUGAUUAGCCACACUGGAACUGAGACACGGUCCAGACUCCUACGGGAGGCGGCAGUGGGGAAUAUUGGACAAUGGGGGCAAGCCUGAUCCAGCCAUACCGCGUGGGUGAAGAAGGCCUUCGGGUUGUAAAGCCCUUUUGUUGGGAAAGAAAAGCAGCAGGUUAAUACCCCGCUGUUCUGACGGUACCCAAAGAAUAAGCACCGGCUAACUUCGUG